UUAGGCAAAAUGGCACCGUAACUUCGGGAGAAGGUGCGCCCUUUGGUGUGGUCACGUGCGUGACUGAGCAUCGAAGGGUCGCAGUAACCUAGCCGCUGCGACUGUUUAUCAAAAACACAGCACUCUGCAAACACGAAAGUGGACGUAUAGGGUGUGACGCCUGCCCGGUGCUGGAAGGUUAAUUGAUGGGGUCAGCCGCAAGGCGAAGCUCUUGAUCGAAGCCCCAGUAAACGGCGGCCGUAACAAUAACGGUCCUAAGGUAGCGAAAUUCCUUGUCGGGUAAGUUCCGACCUGCACGAAUGGCGUAACGACAGCGGCGCUGUCUCCACCCGAGACUCAGUGAAAUUGAAAUCGCUGUGAAGAUGCAGCGUUCCCGCGGCAAGACGGAAAGACCCCGUGAACCUUUACUAUAGCUUUACACUGAACGUUGAGUUCUUCUGUGUAGGAUAGGUGGGAGGCUAUGAAACCAGGACGCUAGUUCUGGUGGAGCCAUCCUUGAAAUACCACCCUGAAGUGCUUGACGUUCUAACCUAGGCCCGUAAUCCGGGUCAGGGACCGUGUAUGGUGGGUAGUUUGACUGGGGCGGUCUCCUCCCAAAGAGUAACGGAGGAGCACGAAGGUACGCUCAGCGCGGUCGGACAUCGCGCACUGUGUGCAAAGGCAUAAGCGUGCUUGACUGCGAGAUCGACGGAUCAAGCAGGUACGAAAGUAGGUCUUAGUGAUCCGGUGGUUCUGUAUGGAAGGGCCAUCGCUCAACGGAUAAAAGGUACUCCGGGGAUAACAGGCUGAUACCGCCCAAGAGUUCAUAUCGACGGCGGUGUUUGGCACCUCGAUGUCGGCUCAUCACAUCCUGGGGCUGUAGCCGGUCCCAAGGGUAUGGCUGUUCGCCAUUUAAAGUGGUACGCGAGCUGGGUUCAGAACGUCGUGAGACAGUUCGGUCCCUAUCUGUCGUGGGCGUUGGAGAUUUGAGGGGGGCUGCUCCUAGUACGAGUGGACCGGAGUGGACGUUCCGCUGGUGUUCGGGUUGUCAUGCCCAUGGCAUUGCCCGGUAGCUACGAACGGAAGUGAUAACCGCUGAAAGCAUCUAAGCGGGAAGCACGCCCCAAGAUGAGAUCUCCCGAGAGCUUGACUCUCCUAAAGGCACCAUCAACACUAGGUGGUUGAUAGGUCAGGUGUGGAAGCGCAGCAAUGCGUUGAGCUAACUGAUACUAAUGAGCCGUGAGGCUUGACCAA
rnacentral:rRNA from 1 species